rnacentral:rRNA from 1 species
CCGGCGACGUCGCGAGAAGUCCACUGAACCUUAUCAUUUAAGAGGAACGGAUAAGUCGUAACAAGGUUUCCGUAGGUGAACCUGCGGAAGGAUCAUUG